GAUCAAUCCCAGUAUAUUCCCUUCUCACUGAAUCCAUUAGAAAAUGUUGAAUGUGAUCAGUUGAUGGCGGUCAAAGUAUUGUUGACGAACAAUUUGAUUUGAUUAAAUCCAAAAUUUCACAAGAAAAAGUUUGAAACAAAAGUUGAAAUGAAAGUCACAAUAACAAGUUGAUCGGGUUGAUGAUGAAUGGCAAGUCCAGAGGAAAGUUAACAUUAUUUAUUGAUGAAGAUGGAAAGAAGAAGAAGAGGAAAAAGAUGGAAAAGAAACCAUAAGAUAACUAAUUCUUUAUCAUUAUCUAUUUAUAGUGAUGAUAAUAAUGUAAUAAUAAUCUUCUGAAGUUUCAUGGAAUCACAGAAAGUUGUUUUUCAAAGGUUAAAUGUUACGUUUAUCUUUUUAUUGAUUUUAGUAUGCAUUCAUUUUGCUAUCAAUUUCAUUUGAAAUUUUCCUCUCUUUUUUUGCUAUCAAAUUUUACACCAUUUUUGUAAUUAAUUUAUUGCAAUUGCUUGAUAAACAGUUUAAUGAAGAGCAGUUUAUUGCUGAUGAAAGAUUAGAUUCAAGAUUUAGAUUGAAAACUCAAUCUUGGAUUAGCAAUCUUCUUGACGUUAUUUUAUUCAUUUAUGACUUUAAUGCUUCAUUAGAUUACAUUUGAUUGGAUCGAAAUUCAUGAAAGACGUAAAUCGAAAGUCAAACUCAAUGAGCAACAUGAUAUUCACCGUUAAUCCAUCUACGUUGAUAUAUUGUCAAUGUUUGGAAUUAAUAUUGUUUUUUCUUCUUCUAUUAUUUUCGCCAUUGUAAUCAUGUUACCUUUAAUCAAGUGAACGUUUUGUGAUAUUUUUUUCAUUAAAUGACAUUCUUGAUGAAUGCCAUUCAACAAGUAAAUUGCAAUUCCAAUUUAGUUCAUGUCGAUAAAAGCCUGAAUAGUAAUUUUGUUUCAUCUUACAAGUUGCAAUGGAUAUAAUUUGAUUGGUACAAUUAGUUAACCAAUUGAUUUAUGUAAUGAUAUAAUCAACUGAUGGAGUUUGUAUUUAAAAUUUGUUGAAACAAAACCAGUGCUAGGAAAAGGCAAACAAUUGACAUUCUUACAACAAGUGAAACUUUCAUGAGCAAUCCAAUCAAACUGAUAAUUGAAUUAAGUUGAAGUAGAUUAAAUGAGGAAAAUGUUCACAUAAAUCAGUAACAAAUGUUGCAAUUCCAGGACAGUGUUUUCACUGAUGAAUCAAUGUGAACGAUUGUUGGACUUUCUUCGAUUUUUGGAGUAUUUUUAUGAUGAUUUGACUCUGAACUUGGCCUUGAACUAGAAACGACAAUGGACUCUGUCGAUGCAAUGAACGAAAACAAAAAUAAAAAUCUUGAACAAAAUGAAUCAUGAAAAUGAUGGCUAAAGACAACUUGAAAUGCAUUGUUGGUUGAAUGUUAGUCCAAAAGGUUAGCAAAAGUAGAACGCCUUUAAUUGGUUUUAAUUAUUAAUAAAAUUAAGGGUUUGUUAAGGUAAAGGCAAAGAAGCGAAACAAGGUUCAUCUGUGAGAAAAUGUUGAUAAAGUUGAAGCUAAAAAUGAUAUUAAUAAAUUGGAUAAGGUUUUCCCUGGAUUCCCUUGAUAAAUGAUGAUAAUGAUAAUGUACACCUUGAAACUGUAACUAUAAAUAAAAAUGCAUUUAAAACCAUUUUCUUGAUCAA